rnacentral:misc_RNA from 1 species
CGCUGGAUCAUCCCCGACCAAAACCUUCGCUGAUGGAAGCAAUGCCACUAGUGAUUCAGAAUGUUGAGCAGGGAUACUCUGGUUUUCACCAAUUGCCUAUAAAUGCAUUCCAGCUCUUCUUCUGCCUCUUGAAUGCUUGACUCAAAUGCUUCCAAUCCUUUAAGAAGGUUUUGAAGUUGUGAAAGACAGAUGUCUUUGCUUGACUUCAGGGUAAUCAAUUCAGCAUCAAUCUUCUCUGCUUCAUUGACUCCAUUUUCUACUUCGCAUGAGACGCGCUUGCUUUGCAAUAAUUUUGAGAUGACGGACCACCCAGAGAGCAUUGAUUUUGCCUUUGGCUGAGAAAUGA